rnacentral:rRNA from 1 species
GAUGAACGCUGGCGGCGUGCUUAACACAUGCAAGUCGAACGGUGAACGAGGGAGCUUGCUCCCUCCGGAUCAGUGGCGAACGGGUGAGUAACACGUGAGCAAUCUGCCCUGGACUCUGGGAUAAGCGUUGGAAACGACGUCUAAUACCGGAUACGAGACGCGAAGGCAUCUUCAGCGUCUGGAAAGAAUUUCGGUCCAGGAUGAGCUCGCGGCCUAUCAGGUAGUUGGUGAGGUAACGGCUCACCAAGCCUACGACGGGUAGCCGGCCUGAGAGGGUGACCGGCCACACUGGGACUGAGACACGGCCCAGACUCCUACGGGAGGCAGCAGUGGGGAAUAUUGCACAAUGGGCGCAAGCCUGAUGCAGCGACGCCGCGUGAGGGACGACGGCCUUCGGGUUGUAAACCUCUUUUAGCAGGGAAGAAGCGAAAGUGACGGUACCUGCAGAAAAAGCACCGGCUAACUACGUGCCAGCAGCCGCCGUAAAAC